UAGGGAAUCUUCGGCAAUGGGGGCAACCCUGACCGAGCAACGCCGCGUGAGUGAAGAAGGUUUUCGGAUCGUAAAGCUCUGUUGUAAGAGAAGAACGUGUGUGAGAGUGGAAAGUUCACACAGUGACGGUAACUUACCAGAAAGGGACGGCUAACUACGUGCCAGCAGCCGCGAUAAUACGUAGGUCCCGAGCGUUGUCCGGAUUUAUUGGGCGUAAAGCGAGCGCAGGCGGUUUAAUAAGUCUGAAGUUAAAGGCAGUGGCUUAACCAUUGUUCGCUUUGGAAACUGUUAAACUUGAGUGCAGAAGGGGAGAGUGGAAUUCCAUUUGUAGCGGUGAAAUGCGUAGAUAUAUGGAGGAACACCGGUGGCGAAAGCGGCUCUCUGGUCUGUAACUGACGCUGAGGCUCGAAAGCGUGGGGAGCAAACAGG
rnacentral:rRNA from 1 species